UUCUUAAAGCCAGGCAUAGUGAUGAAAGACCCCCAGAGUGGGGAGACCCUCACUCAAGUCUCGGGAUAAGCCGACUCCCCAAUAAUUCAAGAGAGACC
rnacentral:pre_miRNA from 11 species